rnacentral:tRNA from 1 species
GCCUUCUUAGCUUAGUGGUAGAGUGCUUCACUCGUAAUGAAGAGGUCACGAGUUCGAAUCUCGUAGAGGGCU